CCUACGGGCGGCAGCAGUGAGGAAUAUUGGUCAAUGGACGAGAGUCUGAACCAGCCAAGUAGCGUGAAGGAUGACUGCCCUAUGGGUUGUAAACUUCUUUUAUAUGGGAAUAAAACGUUCCACGUGUGGGAUUUUGUAUGUACCAUAUGAAUAAGGAUCGGCUAACUCCGUGCCAGCAGCCGCGGUAAUACGGAGGAUCCGAGCGUUAUCCGGAUUUAUUGGGUUUAAAGGGAGCGUAGGUGGAUUGUUAAGUCAGUUGUGAAAGUUUGCGGCUUAACCGUAAAAUUGCAGUUGAAACUGGCAGUCUUGAGUACAGUAGAGGUGGGCGGAAUUCGUGGUGUAGCGGUGAAAUGCUUAGAUAUCACGAAGAACUCCGAUUGCGAAGGCAGUUCACUGGACUGCAACUGACACUGAGGCUCGAAAGUGUGGGUAUCAAACAGGAUUAGAUACCCCAGUAGUC
rnacentral:rRNA from 1 species